AGGAAUUGGCGGGGGAGCACCACAAGGGGUGAGGCCUGCGGUUCAAUUGGAGUCAACGCCGGAAAUCUUACCGGGGGCGACAGCAGAAUGAAGGUCAAGCUGAAGACUUUACCAGACAAGCUGAGAGGAGGUGCAUGGCCGUCGCCAGCUCGUGCCGUGAGGUGUCCUGUUAAGUCAGGUAACGAGCGAGAUCCCUACUUCUAGUUGCUACCAUUGCUCUCAGGAGUAGUGGGGCUAAUUAGAGGGACUGCCGUCGCUAAGACGGAGGAAGGAGGGGGCUACGGCAGGUCAGUAUGCCCCGAAACCCUCGGGCCACACGCGGGCUGCAAUGGUAAGGACAAUAAGUUCCUAGUCCGAAAGGAGGAGGUAAUCUCCAAACCUUACCUCAGUUAUGAUUGAGGGCUGAAACUCGCCCUCAUGAAUAUGGAAUCCCUAGUAACCGCGUGUCACUAUCGCGCGGUGAAUACGUCCCUGCUCCUUGCACACACCGCCCGUC
rnacentral:rRNA from 1 species